rnacentral:lncRNA from 1 species
GAAGAAGCAUUCUCACAAUCAUUUGAAAUUCUAUAAUCUCAGUUUCAAUGAAGACGAAGAGGCUUGGUUUAAAUCUCGGCUUUCAUCAUGCAUUUUCAGGUUUAAUUUCAGUUAAUCUGACCAAAUUUGAUGGAUUUUUUCCCUAAUUUCAUGAAUGUCAGCUCUCACAUUCAUUCGAUCGAAGAAGCUUUCACUUUCGUUUGAAAUAUUUUGAUCUCGAUCGGUUUCACUGGAAAGGAAGAGGUUUGGUUUUAAUCUCGCUUUCAUUCAAGAAUUUAAUGUUUGUAUGAGUUUAAUCGCACCAAAAUUGAUGUGUUUCUCCUCUAAUUUAUGGUUAGGGAUCUAAUUUAUGUCUCUUGAUUUAAAGAAUUUAGGUUUGGGCUUUGAUUAUUUGAUUAUUAAUUUUGCAUCGUUUGGAUACUGUUGAAGAGUGUGAAUUAAUCCACAUUAAGUAUGUAUUGGAACUAUUAGGCUGAAACCAGAUGGCUUCUGUUUACUAAGCAACACAAGAAUUGAGUUAUAAUUAGGUCUGCUUAUGUUUUGCUGAAACUAGAUGGGUUCUGUUUACUAACUUAUCUGUAUUAUUAUCUUUUUUAAGUCAUUCUUUAAGCUAAAUUAGGGUAUUAGAAACAGAGCUAGGAAAGAAAUUAGUACCUGCAUUCAGUAUUGCAAGCUAAUUGCUAGUGCUACUUCAGGUAUAUUGACUGAACAAUGAACACCCGGUUUAUGAUACAUGCAUUAUCACACUAUACUUUAAUGAACAAACAUUUUUCUUCCUCUAAAUUUCACAUAUUGGGUGCCAGAAUGGAAAACAAAUAGUCCAAGAAG